AGUGAACGCUGGCGGUAGGCCUAACACAUGCAAGUCGAACGGCAGCACAGUAAGAGCUUGCUCUUACGGGUGGCGAGUGGCGGACGGGUGAGGAAUACAUCGGAAUCUACUUUUUCGUGGGGGAUAACGUAGGGAAACUUACGCUAAUACCGCAUACGACCUACGGGUGAAAGCAGGGGAUCUUCGGACCUUGCGCGAUUGAAUGAGCCGAUGUCGGAUUAGCUAGUUGGCGGGGUAAAGGCCCACCAAGGCGACGAUCCGUAGCUGGUCUGAGAGGAUGAUCAGCCACACUGGAACUAAGACACGGUCCAGACUCCUACGGGAGGCAGCAGUGGGGAAUAUUGGACAAUGGGCGCAAGCCUGAUCCAGCCAUACCGCGUGGGUGAAGAAGGCCUUCGGGUUGUAAAGCCCUUUUGUUGGGAAAGAAAAGUAGCAGGUUAAUACCCCGCUGUUCUGACGGUACCCAAAGAAUAAGCACCGGCUAACUUCGUG
rnacentral:rRNA from 1 species